CCUACGAGUGGCUGCAGUGAGGAAUAUUGGUCAAUGGGCGCGAGCCUGAACCAGCCAAGUAGCGUGAAGGAUGACUGCCCUACGGGUUGUAAACUUCUUUUAUAAAAGAAUAAAGUGAGGCACGUGUGCCUUUUUGUAUGUACUUUAUGAAUAAGGAUCGGCUAACUCCGUGCCAGCAGCCGCGGUAAUACGGAGGAUCCGAGAGUUAUCCGGAUUUAUUGGGUUUAAAGGGAGCGUAGAUGGGUUGUUAAGUCAGUUGUGAAAGUUUGCGGCUCAACCGUAAAAUUGCAAUUGAUACUGGCAGUCUUGAGUACAGUUGAGGUAGGCGGAAUUCGUGGUGUAGCGGUGAAAUGCUUAGAUAUCACGAAGAACUCCGAUUGCGAAGGCAGCUUACUAAACUGCCACUGACAUUGAUGCUCGAAAGUGUGGGUAUCAAACAGGAUUAGAUACCCGAGUAGUC
rnacentral:rRNA from 1 species